AAUGCAAGUGAUGGCUCCAGCACACCUGAAUCCAUCAUUGGAACACAAAGACCUCCGUGCGGUGCUAUAAAGCAGGCUGUCUUGCGCUGGCACAGUUCGGCGCAUUCGACUCUCCAAACAACUUUGAAGCGAAAUUCCUUGUUCUACCGCUGCUAACGACAGCGCGACCGAGAAUGAGGUGGUCGGUGGCAUUUUUCACAAUCGCUGUGCUUUGCGGCUUACUCUGCGCAAGGGCUGAGGCGAAGACGUACGAGCAGUUUCGGAAGGAGAUUUUGGCUGUCAAGAAGGACACGCUAUCCCCACCGUGCAAGAAAGUUUUCGCGAAAUGCGCCCCUAGGCUGUUCAGCCUGCUGCCUCUUCUACCUCUACUAAAAAAUAACUGGAACGACUUUCAGGCGAGUUGAGUGCACGUUUCGUUCUUUUGAGACGUAAUGCUUUAAAGACCCACUAAUGCCUAUUACGGGCUAGUCAUCACAGCAGAGCCUUCCAUGUCUUCGGAUAUUUUGCCACGUCCGCAUGUUUGAGUUGGUGCGCAUCGUUCUCCUCCAGAAUGCUCCAUGCGUGAAAAGCGCGUUCGCCCGUGGUUUCCCCAACUACUCCUGGCAGUGCGCAAAGGGAGGCAACUACGAGAAGUCUAUAAACUGCAUGCUGUCUGCAGAUGUUACGAAAUUGUUCGGGCCCUCUGCAGAAAAAAUGAAGACGGCAACCAAAUGCCUCCUCGACAAUGUGUGAUGAGUACACGGCUAGUAGAAUGCCAAAAACAGCACGGUCGGCGGUAUCCUACUUUCCGGCAGCGAAGUUGUAGUUGGAGUUCUGACCUUGCUCGCACACUGUUCAAUAAAAAUAUACGACCUCCCAAGCAAAGUGG